rnacentral:tRNA from 1 species
GUAUAUGGGCUGAUGGUAGAAUGCUUGUCUCGAAUGCAUGAGGCCCUGGGUUCAAUUCCCAGCACCACA